AACGAACGCUGGCGGCAUGCCUAACACAUGCAAGUCGAACGAGACCUUCGGGUCUAGUGGCGCACGGGUGCGUAACGCGUGGGAACCUGCCCUUAGGUUCGGAAUAACUCCCCGAAAGGGGUGCUAAUACCGGAUAAUGUCUUCGGACCAAAGAUUUAUCGCCUUUGGAUGGGCCCGCGUUGGAUUAGCUAGUUGGUAGGGUAAAAGCCUACCAAGGCGACGAUCCAUAGCUGGUCUGAGAGGAUGAUCAGCCACACUGGGACUGAGACACGGCCCAGACGCCUACGGGAGGCAGCAGGGGGGAAUAUUGGACAAUGGGCGAAAGCCUGAUCCAGCAAUGCCGCGUGAGUGAUGAAGGCCUUAGGGUUGUAAAGCUCUUUUACCCGGGAUGAUAAUGACAGUACCGGGAGAAUAAGCUCCGGCUAACUCCGUG
rnacentral:rRNA from 1 species